GUUGGGUAGGGGAGCGUUCUGUAAGCCUGUGAAGGUGUGUCGUGAGGCAUGCUGGAGGUAUCAGAAGUGCGAAUGCUGACAUAAGUAACGAUAAAGCGGGUGAAAAGCCCGCUCGCCGGAAGACCAAGGGUUCCUGUCCAACGUUAAUCGGGGCAGGGUGAGUCGACCCCUAAGGCGAGGCCGAAAGGCGUAGUCGAUGGGAAACGGGUUAAUAUUCCCGUACUUGGUGUUACUGCGAAGGGGGGACGGAGAAGGCUAUGUUGGCCGGGCGACGGUUGUCCCGGUUUAAGCGUGUAGGUGUGUGUUCCAGGUAAAUCCGGUUCACUUUAACACUGAGGCGUGACGACGAGGCACUACGGUGCUGAAGCAACAAAUGCCCUGCUUCCAGGAAAAGCCUCUAAGCAUCAGGUAACAUCAAAUCGUACCCCAAACCGACACAGGUGGUCAGGUAGAGAAUACCAAGGCGCUUGAGAGAACUCGGGUGAAGGAACUAGGCAAAAUGGUGCCGUAACUUCGGGAGAAGGCACGCUGACACGUAGGUGAAGUGAUUUACUCAUGGAGCUGAAGUCAGUCGAAGAUACCAGCUGGCUGCAACUGUUUAUUAAAAACACAGCACUGUGCAAACACGAAAGUGGACGUAUACGGUGUGACGCCUGCCCGGUGCCGGAAGGUUAAUUGAUGGGGUCAGCGCAAGCGAAGCUCCUGAUCGAAGCCCCGGUAAACGGCGGCCGUAACUAUAACGGUCCUAAGGUAGCGAAAUUCCUUGUCGGGUAAGUUCCGACCUGCACGAAUGGCGUAAUGAUGGCCAGGCUGUCUCCACCCGAGACUCAGUGAAAUUGAACUCGCUGUGAAGAUGCAGUGUACCCGCGGCAAGACGGAAAGACCCCGUGAACCUUUACUAUAGCUUGACACUGAACAUUGAGCCUUGAUGUGUAGGAUAGGUGGGAGGCUUUGAAGUGUGGACGCCAGUCUGCAUGGAGCCGACCUUGAAAUACCACCCUUUAAUGUUUGAUGUUCUAACGUGGACCCGUAAUCCGGGUUGCGGACAGUGUCUGGUGGGUAGUUUGACUGGGGCGGUCUCCUCCUAAAGAGUAACGGAGGAGCACGAAGGUUGGCUAAUCCUGGUCGGACAUCAGGAGGUUAGUGCAAUGGCAUAAGCCAGCUUGACUGCGAGCGUGACGGCGCGAGCAGGUGCGAAAGCAGGUCAUAGUGAUCCGGUGGUUCUGAAUGGAAGGGCCAUCGCUCAACGGAUAAAAGGUACUCCGGGGAUAACAGGCUGAUACCGCCCAAGAGUUCAUAUCGACGGCGGUGUUUGGCACCUCGAUGUCGGCUCAUCACAUCCUGGGGCUGAAGUAGGUCCCAAGGGUAUGGCUGUUCGCCAUUUAAAGUGGUACGCGAGCUGGGUUUAGAACGUCGUGAGACAGUUCGGUCCCUAUCUGCCGUGGGCGCUGGAGAACUGAGGGGGGCUGCUCCUAGUACGAGAGGACCGGAGUGGACGCAUCACUGGUGUUCGGGUUGUCAUGCCAAUGGCACUGCCCGGUAGCUAAAUGCGGAAGAGAUAAGUGCUGAAAGCAUCUAAGCACGAAACUUGCCCCGAGAUGAGUUCUCCCUGAGACUUAGAGUCUCCUGAAGGAACGUUGAAGACGACGACGUUGAUAGGCCGGGUGUGUAAGCGCAGCGAUGCGUUGAGCUAACCGGUACUAAUGAACCGUGAGGCUUAACCUU
rnacentral:rRNA from 1 species